rnacentral:rRNA from 1 species
GGGUGCGAUCAUACCAGCACUAAUGCACCGGAUCCCAUCAGAACUCCGAAGUUAAGCGUGCUUGGGCGAGAGUAGUACUAGGAUGGGUGACCUCUUGGGAAGUCCUCGUGUUGCACCCCCUU